rnacentral:rRNA from 1 species
ACGAACGCUGGCGGCGUGCUUAACACAUGCAAGUCGAACGAGGUAGCAAUACCUAGUGGCGGACGGGUGAGUAACACGUAGGUAACCUGCCCAGUCGUGGGGGAUACCCAGCCGAAAGGUUGGCUAAUACCGCAUGAGCUCUACAUCCGAGACGGUGUAGAGGAAAGAUUUAUCGCGAUUGGAGGGGCCUGGGUUCGAUUAGCUAGUUGGUGGGGUAACGGCUCACCAAGGCGACGAUCGAUAGCUGGUCUGAGAGGACGAUCAGCCACACUGGAACUGAGACACGGUCCAGACUCCUACGGGAGGCAGCAGUGGGGAAUUUUCCGCAAUGGGCGAAAGCCUGACGGAGCAACGCCGCGUGGAUGAUGAAGUCUUUCGGGACGUAAAAUCCUUUCAGCAGGGACGAAGCGAGUGACGGUACCUGCAGAAGAAGCAUCGGCUAACUACGU